UGGGGGAUAUUGCACAAUGGGGGAAACCCUGAUGCAGCGACGCCGCGUGAGCGAAGAAGAUCUUCGGAUUGUAAAGCUCUGUCUUGGGGGACGAUAAUGACGGUACCCCGAGAGGAAGCCACGGCUAACUACGUGCCAGCAGCCGCGGUAAUACGUAGGUGGCAAGCGUUGUCCGGAAUUACUGGGUGUAAAGGGAGCGCAGGCGGGUGCGCAAGUUGGAAGUGAAACUCAUGGGCUUAACCCAUGACCUGCUUUCAAAACUGCGCGUCUUGAGUGGUGUAGAGGUAGGCGGAAUUCCCGGUGUAGCGGUGGAAUGCGUAGAUAUCGGGAGGAACACCAGUGGCGAAGGCGGCCUACUGGGCACUAACUGACGCUGAGGCUCGAAAGCAUGGGUAGCAAACAGG
rnacentral:rRNA from 1 species